CGCACAUUGCGCCCUCCGGUACUCCGGGGGGCAUGCCUGUCCGAGCGUCAUUGCAACUCUCAAGCGUAGCUUGGUUUUGGACCUCAUUUCGCAAGAAGUGUGUCCGAAAAGCAGUGGAUGUCCGGCGUGACUUUGGGUGUAUUAAAUUUCUCACGCUUUGAAGCUCACGACGAAUAUCCAUAAUCUUUCUCUCAAGAUUGACCUCGGAUCAGACAGGGAUACCCGCUGAACUUAA
rnacentral:misc_RNA from 1 species